UACAGAGGUGGCAAGCGUUGUUCGGAAUUACUGGGCGUAAAGGGCGCGUAGGUGGCCUUUUGAGUCAGACGUGAAAUCCCCAGGCUUAACUUGGGAACUGCGUCUGAUACUGGAAGGCUCGAGUUCGGGAGAGGGAUGUGGAAUUCCAGGUGUAGCGGUGAAAUGCGUAGAUAUCUGGAGGAACACCGGUGGCGAAGGCGGCAUCCUGGACCGAAACUGACACUGAGGCGCGAAAGCCAGGGGAGCAAACGGG
rnacentral:rRNA from 1 species